rnacentral:rRNA from 1 species
CAGGCUUAACACAUGCAAGUCGAGGGGCAGCAUGGUCUUAGCUUGCUAAGGCCGAUGGCGACCGGCGCACGGGUGAGUAACACGUAUCCAACCUGCCGUCUACUCUUGGACAGCCUUCUGAAAGGAAGAUUAAUACAAGAUGGCAUCAUGAGUCCACAUGUUCACAUGAUUAAAGGUAUUCCGGUAGACGAUGGGGAUGCGUUCCAUUAGAUAGUAGGCGGGGUAACGGCCCACCUAGUCUUCGAUGGAUAGGGGUUCUGAGAGGAAGGUCCCCCACAUUGGAACUGAGACACGGUCCAAACUCCUACGGGAGGCAGCAGUGAGGAAUAUUGGUCAAUGGGCGAGAGCCUGAACCAGCCAAGUAGCGUGAAGGAUGACUGCCCUAUGGGUUGUAAACUUCUUUUAUAAAGGAAUAAAGUCGGGUAUGCAUACCCGUUUGCAUGUACUUUAUGAAUAAGGAUCGGCUAACUCCGUGCCAGCAGCCGCGGUAAUACGGAGGAUCCGAGCGUUAUCCGGAUUUAUUGGGUUUAAAGGGAGCGUAGAUGGAUGUUUAAGUCAGUUGUGAAAGUUUGCGGCUCAACCGUAAAAUUGCAGUUGAUACUGGAUAUCUUGAGUGCAGUUGAGGCAGGCGGAAUUCGUGGUGUAGCGGUGAAAUGCUUAGAUAUCACGAAGAACUCCGAUUGCGAAGGCAGCCUGCUAAGCUGCAACUGACAUUGAGGCUCGAAAGUGUGGGUAUCAAACAGGAUUAGAUACCCUGGUAGUCCACACGGUAAACGAUGAAUACUCGCUGUUUGCGAUAUACGGCAAGCGGCCAAGCGAAAGCGUUAAGUAUUCCACCUGGGGAGUACGCCGGCAACGGUGAAACUCAAAGGAAUUGACGGGGGCCCGCACAAGCGGAGGAACAUGUGGUUUAAUUCGAUGAUACGCGAGGAACCUUACCCGGGCUUAAAUUGCAGAUGAAUUACGGUGAAAGCCGUAAGCCGCAAGGCAUCUGUGAAGGUGCUGCAUGGUUGUCGUCAGCUCGUGCCGUGAGGUGUCGGCUUAAGUGCCAUAACGAGCGCAACCCUUGUUGUCAGUUACUAACAGGUUCCGCUGAGGACUCUGACAAGACUGCCAUCGUAAGAUGUGAGGAAGGUGGGGAUGACGUCAAAUCAGCACGGCCCUUACGUCCGGGGCUACACACGUGUUACAAUGGGGGGUACAGAGGGCCGCUACCACGCGAGUGGAUGCCAAUCCCCAAAACCUUUCUCAGUUCGGACUGGAGUCUGCAACCCGACUCCACGAAGCUGGAUUCGCUAGUAAUCGCGCAUCAGCCACGGCGCGGUGAAUACGUUCCCGGGCCUUGUACACACCGCCCGUCAAGCCAUGGGAGCCGGGGGUACCUGAAGUGCGUAACCGCGAGGAGCGCCCUAGGGUAAAACUGGUGACUGGGGCUAA